GUCCUUUUGAUUUUUAUUUAAGGUCUGACCUGCCCACUGAUUUAUUUAAUGGCCGCGGUAUUUUGACCGUGCAAAGGUAGCAUAGUAAUUUGUCUUUUAAUUGAAGGCUUGUAUGAAUGGUUGGACGAGAAAACUACUUUCUUUAUAAUAAAAUUGUUAAUUUUAUUUUUUAGUUAAAAAGCUAAAAUGUUGUUGUAGGACGAGAAGACCCUAUAGAACUUUAUAUUUAUUUUUUUAUCAAUAUUUUUGGUUAAUAAUAUGUUGUAUCUUUAUAAAUAUUUUGUUGGGGCGACAAGAAAAUUUAUUUAACUUUUUUUAUUAAUUUCAUUAAUUAAUGUACAAAUGAUCCUUUAUUAUGGAUAAUUAGAAUAAGUUACCUUAGGGAUAACAGCGUAAUUUUUUUGGAGAGUUCUUAUCGAUAAAAAAGUUUGCGA
rnacentral:rRNA from 1 species